rnacentral:rRNA from 1 species
UACGUAGGGGGCUAGCGUUGUCCGGAAUCAUUGGGCGUAAAGCGCGUGUAGGCGGUUCGGUAAGUCCGCUGUGAAAGUCGGGGGCUCAACCCUCGGAUGCCGGUGGAUACUGUCGAGCUCGAGUACGGAAGAGGCGAGUGGAAUUCCUGGUGUAGCGGUGAAAUGCGCAGAUAUCAGGAGGAACACCGGUGGCGAAGGCGGGUCUCUGGGCCGAAAUUGACGCUGAGGAGCGAAAGCGUGGGGAGCAAACAGG